rnacentral:rRNA from 1 species
ACGCUCGACACCUACGGGAGGCAGCAGUUAGGAAUAUUGGGCAAUGGAGGGAACUCUGACCCAGCAACGCCGCGUGAAGGAAGAAGGUUUUCGGAUUGUAAACUUCUGAUCUAAGGGAAGAAGAAAGCGACGGUACCUUAGGAGAAAGCCACGGCUAACUACGUGCCCGCAGCCGCGGUAAUCUGAGCGGGCUGGCAAGGC